rnacentral:rRNA from 1 species
AUGGUCGUCGUCUUCUUCAACAACCAUCAAUAUCCUGUGUUUGAUCAACAUCGAUCUGUAUUAUUGAUUGAAUCCAGGGAUGUAACUGUACAGAGUAAAACAUUUGCUGGCUUGUAUGGCUGUAUAUUAUUCAAAACAUUUCGAGACUUAAUUAGUAGGUUAAUUAGCAGCUGGCCUUCCUUGGCUUUCUUCCGUAUCAUUUGGCAUGACUUUUCUCUCAAUGUUUUCAUCGAUUGCAUAUCAUGGGGCCAAACUAAUCUCAUACCUGUUCUUGUCCCUGAAAAAAGCUACACCCUCCGUCUCAUAAUAUAA